AUGGAGGCCAGAGUCACUCUUGGGUGUCACCUAUUGCCUUAGUGGUCAGAGUCCUUGAAGAAUAACUGCUGAUCUUGUUCACUGACUGUGGCCCUUAUAGUACAGUCAGUCACCAAGUUGGUGGCAUGA